AUUGAACGCUGGCGGCAUGCUUUACACAUGCAAGUCGAACGGCAGCAUGGGUGCUUGCACCUGAUGGCGAGUGGCGAACGGGUGAGUAAUGUAUCGGAACAUAUCCGCAAGUGGGGGAUAACGUAGCGAAAGUUACGCUAAUACCGCAUAUUCCCUGAGGGGGAAAGGAGGGGAUCCGCAAGGACCUUUCGCUUACGGAGUGGCCGAUAUCAGAUUAGCUAGUUGGUGGGGUAAAGGCCUACCAAGGCGACGAUCUGUAGCGGGUCUGAGAGGAUGAUCCGCCACACUGGGACUGAGACACGGCCCAGACUCCUACGGGAGGCAGCAGUGGGGAAUUUUGGACAAUGGGGGCAACCCUGAUCCAGCCAUGCCGCGUGAGUGAAGAAGGCCUUCGGGUUGUAAAGCUCUUUCAGCUGGAAAAAAAUCGCAUCACCUAAUACGUGGUGUGGAUGAUGGUACCAGCAGAAGAAGCACCGGCUAACUACGUGCCAGCAGCCGCGGUAAUACGUAGGGUGCGAGCGUUAAUCGGAAUUACUGGGCGUAAAGCGUGCGCAGGC
rnacentral:rRNA from 1 species